UACAGAGGGUGCGAGCGUUAAUCGGAAUUACUGGGCGUAAAGCGUGCGUAGACGGUUGCGUAAGUCGGAUGUGAAAUCCCCGGGCUCAACCUGGGAAUUGCAUUCGAGACUGCGUAGCUGGGGUGCGGAAGAGGGAAGCGGAAUUUCCGGUGUAGCGGUGAAAUGCGUAGAUAUCGGAAGGAACACCAGUGGCGAAAGCGGCUUCCUGGUCCGACACCGACGUUCAGGCACGAAAGCGUGGGGAGCAAACAGG
rnacentral:rRNA from 1 species